GCACCAGGGAGGAUAACGUUGCUUCAGCAACGGCCCGUAGGGCGAGGCGCAGCCGAGUAAUCCUCCCGGAUGCACCA
rnacentral:sRNA from 12 species